rnacentral:misc_RNA from 1 species
AAGUCGUAACAAGGUCUCCGUUGGUGAACCAGCGGAGGGAUCAUUACCGAGUCUAAACAACUCAUCAACCCUGUGAACAUACCUAAAACGUUGCUUCGGCGGGAACAGACGGCCCCGUGAAACGGGCCGCCCCCGCCAGAGGACCCCCUAACUCUGUUGCUAUAUGUAUCUUCUGAGUAAACAAGCAAAUAAAUUAAAACUUUCAACAACGGAUCUCUUGGCUCUG